UAUAUUGCAAGAAAUAAAAGGGAAAUUUGAGUGAUACAACAUACUUAAUUUACUUCCAUGCAAUAUAUAGACAAUGUAGGCCCCAAAUCAUCGUACAUGUGUUCCAUGCUGUAUGUUGUUUAAUGGGGACUUUUCGCCUUUUAAUAGAAUGAAUACUGAAUAUAAUAGUUCUCUCUCUGUGUAUAAAUGAGUUCUUUCAAAGCGGAAUUUCUUUUUUUAUUCUUAUCCCCUCUAUUUAUUCGGAUGAUAAUAUCUAUACCGAGCACGGUUUCGUAGUUAAAUACAUACUAAAGUACAUCCGGUUUGAAUUCAUGUGUUCUCGGAUACUCGGGAAAGCCAACUGUUUUGAUUUUUUGGAACUUAUGACAAGGUAUAACCGUAUAAAUGAGAUAUUUUUGUUUCAAAACUAUGAAAAAGCAUCAUUAUUUUACAAAAAAGUGUCUUCAAUCGCAACUAUCCGAUUAUUCAUGAAUGAUAUCAUUAUCAGAACAGUUGAAAUAGAUUGUAGCUUAGCAUAACCCUAAAUCAUAUGCAUGAGGAUGAUAUGGAGGAAAACAUACAUUAAAAAAGUGGAUAUAGGCGAAAGACUGUCCACUUCGCUGAAGAUAAUAGAGGCAUUCAUCAAUGUCAUUACUAAUGACAAACAGGAGAAACGGAGACAGGAAAUGGAAAGACUGAUCUUCACAGACAGCAGUCAAAACAAAGCAAUAGAAAGCAUUCAAAACUGGAAAUAAGAUAGAAAACCGUGGAACAUCUAGACGAGUCAUGAACCCCAACAUCUAAAAAGAACUUGACGGAGUGCAUUCGGUUGGACAUAACUUCACCCGAGAAGACUGAUGACAAAGACUCAACAAAGAGGGUCAGGCUCCUAUUUUCCUGGGAAUCAACCAGACCAUGCAAAGGAAAAGAGGCACUGGACAAGGCAUAUAGACACAAGGUCCUGAAGACCGAAUCUGCCAGACGCCAGUUGGUAUUUGUAAGGGAUGGUAGAGAGGACACAACAACACCUCCUCCUGAGAAGUGUCCAGCUAGGGCCAUUUCCAGGGACUACUCCUCAUAGAGGUCAAACGAGGUUUCAGAUAUCAAGAGGAUACAAGAAAAAGAACUUUUUAAUUCUGUGGUUGUGUAUUUCCAGAUGUAAAUAUUUAUAGUUGUUUUGGUUUUUUUUAUAAUGUACAUGUAAUAAACAUUUCAGGGUAUAUAGUUUUUGCACUGUUGGUCUGUCUGUCUGCAAAAAUGUAAACCAGGCCUAAAGCUUUUGAGUGGAUGGGGCGACUGCUUUCACAUUUCACAGAUGUACUCUAAGAUUUACAUACAGAUGCAAUGAUGCAAUGUUAAUGUUUUGACGUAUCUGUAAAAAUUGUUAUGCUUUUUCAUAGAUUUAUUUUUUUAUAAUACUGCAGUAACUUAAUUGAGUCCCUGAAUGUCAAUAGUCACUAAUUUGGUUUUCAGUAUAAAAUAUUGUAUUUUUUUUUUAUAAUAGUAACUAAAAGCAAGCUAUGAUUUUUUUUAUGUUGUACAUAUACAAUGUUGAUGCUUUGACAUAUCUUUAAAAUUUGUUAUACUUUUUCAUAGAUUUAUUUU